CGCGGGAUGGAGCAGUUGGUAGCUCGUCGGGCUCAGCUUUUUAUUAAUAAAGAGUCGAAGGUCGUAGUUUUUUAUCAAGUCUUACUCCCACAACCA
rnacentral:tRNA from 1 species